AAGAGGCCCGCGACGGCGCGGCGCAUGCGGCGGUGCGCGCCGUGGGAGGUGCAGAGGAGGCUGUGCUCGCCGAGCAGGUCGGCGACGGUGCGCACGUAGCGCUUGGCGAAGUGCGGCGGGUCGGCGGCCAGGAGGCGCGCGGCGGCGGCGCGGGCGCGGGCGGAGAGGAGGAAGACGUGGGUGCGGCCGAAGAGCACGGUCCGGAAGCAGGNCGGGUCGGCGGCCAGGAGGCGCGCGGCGGCGGCGCGCGCGCGGGCGGAGAGGAGGAAGACGUGGGUGCGGCCGAAGAGCACGGUCCGGAAGCAGGCGCCGUGCCGGAGCGCGCGCGCGUGGACGAAGUGGUAGAAGCCCCUGCCGCUGCUGUUGUCCGCCAG
rnacentral:lncRNA from 1 species